rnacentral:snRNA from 1 species
GUGCUCUCUUCAGCAUCACAUGUACUAAAAUUGGGACAAUAUAGAGAAGAUCACGCUAGAUUCUGAGUAAGGGUGACACAAUCUGGAGAGAUGCAUAUUUGA